AACACAUGCAAGUCGAACGGUGAAGCCCAGCUUGCUGGGUGGAUCAGUGGCGAACGGGUGAGUAACACGUGAGCAACCUGCCCCUCACUUCGGGAUAAGCCUUGGAAACGAGGUCUAAUACCGAAUAUGAGCACCUUCCGCAUGGUGGGUGUUGGAAAGUUUUUCGGUGGGGGAUGGGCUCGCGGCCUAUCAGCUUGUUGGUGGGGUAAUGGCCUACCAAGGCGUCGACGGGUAGCCGGCCUGAGAGGGCGACCGGCCACACUGGGACUGAGACACGCCCCAGACUCCUACGGGAGGCAGCAGUGGGGAAUAUUGCACAAUGGGCGAAAGCCUGAUGCAGCGACGCCGCGUGAGGGAUGACGGCCUUCGGGUUGUAAACCUCUUUCAGCAGGGAAGAAGGCCUUCGGGUGGACGGUACCUGCAGAAGAAGCGCCGGCUAACUACGUGCCAGCAGCCGCGGUAAUACGUAGGGCGCAAGCGUUGUCCGGAAUUAUUGGGCGUAAAGAGCUCGUAGGCGGUCUGUCGCGUCUGGUGUGAAAACCCGAGGCUCAACCUCGGGCUUGCAUCGGGUACGGGCAGACUAGAGUGCGGUAGGGGAGACUGGAAUUCCUGGUGUAGCGGUGGAAUGCGCAGAUAUCAGGAGGAACACCGAUGGCGAAGGCAGGUCUCUGGGCCGCAACUGACGCUGAGGAGCGAAAGCAUGGGGAGCGAACAGGAUUAGAUACCCUGGUAGUCCAUGCCGUAAACGUUGGGCACUAGGUGUGGGGCUCAUUCCACGAGUUCCGUGCCGCAGCUAACGCAUUAAGUGCCCCGCCUGGGGAGUACGGCCGCAAGGCUAAAACUCAAAGGAAUUGACGGGGGCCCGCACAAGCGGCGGAGCAUGCGGAUUAAUUCGAUGCAACGCGAAGAA
rnacentral:rRNA from 1 species